rnacentral:piRNA from 1 species
UGAGUAUGUUUAGAUUUUAGAUUCU